rnacentral:rRNA from 1 species
CCUACGGGGGGCAGCAGUGAGGAAUAUUGGUCAAUGGGAGAGAUCCUGAACCAGCCAAGCCGCGUGAGGGAAGACGGCCCUAUGGGUUGUAAACCUCUUUUGUCGGAGAACAAAACCCGGGACGAGUCCCGGACUGCGUGUAUCCGAAGAAAAAGCAUCGGCUAACUCCGUGCCAGCAGCCGCGGUAAUACGGAGGAUGCGAGCGUUAUCCGGAUUUAUUGGGUUUAAAGGGUGCGUAGGCGGUCCGUUAAGUCAGCGGUAAAAUUGCGGGGCUCAACCCCGUCGAGCCGUUGAAACUGGCAGACUUGAGUUGGCGAGAAGUACGCGGAAUGCGCGGUGUAGCGGUGAAAUGCAUAGAUAUCGCGCAGAACUCCGAUUGCGAAGGCAGCGUACCGGCGCCAGACUGACGCUGAGGCACGAAAGCGUGGGGAU